rnacentral:tRNA from 1 species
GUGAGCGUAGCUCAGUUGGUUAGAGUCCCGGAUUGUGAUUCCGGUGGUCGUGGGUUCGAGUCCCAUCGCUCACC